rnacentral:rRNA from 1 species
UUCGGUUUGGGUGGCGGACGGGUGAGUAACGCGUAAAGAACUUGCCUCACAGACUGGGACAACAUCUGGAAACGGAUGCUAAUACCGGAUAUUAUGAUUUUAGUGCAUGCUAGAAUUAUGAAAGCUAUAUGCACUGUGAGAGAGCUUUGCGUCCCAUUAGCUAGUUGGAGAGGUAACGGCUCACCAAGGCGAUGAUGGGUAGCCGGCCUGAGAGGGUGAACGGCCACAAGGGGACUGAGACACGGCCCUUACUCCUACGGGAGGCAGCAGUGGGGAAUAUUGGACAAUGGACCGAGAGUCUGAUCCAGCAAUUCUGUGUGCACGAUGAAGUUUUUCGGAAUGUAAAGUGCUUUCAGUUGGGAAGAAAAAAAUGACGGUACCAACAGAAGAAGUGACGGCUAAAUACGUGCCAGCAGCCGCGGUAAUACGUAUGUCACAAGCGUUAUCCGGAUUUAUUGGGCGUAAAGCGCGUCUAGGCGGCUAUGUAAGUCUGAUGUGAGAAUGCGGGGCUCAACUCCGUAUUGCGUUGGAAACUGUGUAGCUAGAGUAUCGGAGAGGUAAGCGGAACUACAAGUGUAGAGGUGAAAUUCGUAGAUAUUUGUAGGAAUGCCGAUGGGGAAGCCAGCUUACUGGACGAAUACUGACGCUAAAGCGCGAAAGCGUGGGUAGCAAACAGGAUUAG